GCCGGGCGUGGUGGCGAGUGCCUGUAGUCCCAGCUACUCAGGAGGCUGAGGUGGGAGGAUCGCUUGAGCCCAGGAGUUCUGGGCUGCAGUGCGCUAUGCCAGUCGGGUGUCCACACUAAGUUCAGCAUCAAUAUCGUGACCUCCCGGGAGCGCGGGACCACCAGGUUAACUAAGGAGGGGUGAACCGGCCCAGGUCGGAAACGGAGCAGGUCAAAACUCCCAUGCUGAUCAGUAGUGGGAUCGCGCCUGGGACUAGCCACUGCACUCCAGCCUUGGCAACAUAGUGAGACCCUGUCUCU
rnacentral:SRP_RNA from 1 species